AACCCAUGAUUUGGACACUUCCUUAGCAAUUCUUUGUACCGUUCCCAUGCUUCAUGAAAGUUCUCAAUUUCAGCUUGCUGGAAAGUCGAAAUUUCAUGCUUUAAUUU